rnacentral:ncRNA from 2 species
CCGCAGAGCUAGGGGUGUCGCGCAAGCGACUGAGAUACACCCUUCGAACCUGAUCCGGUUGAUGCCGGCGUAGGGAAGCUGCACCAGCCUGCA